AGUGGAUGGGGAGCAACCUAGUUGUGCGUGUGUAAAGGUAGUGCCAAGAAAAGCGGUGAUCAUGAUGAAAAUCAAUUCCCGGUACCCGAAACCGACACAGGUGGGCAAGUAGAGAAUACUAAGGGGCGCGAGGUAACUCUCUCCAAGGAACUCGGCAAAAUGACCCCGUAACUUAGGGAGAAGGGGUGCCACCGAGAGGUGGUCGCAGUGAAGAGGCCCAGGCGACUGUUUAGCAAAAACAUAGGUCUCUGCAAACUCGAAAGAGGAGGUAUAGGGGCUGACGCCUGCCCAGUGCCGGAAGGUUAAAGUAGUUGGUCAGUCUUAGGAUGAAGCUAGCGACUGAAGCCCCGGUGAACGGCGGCCGUAACUAUAGCGGUCCUAAGGUAGCGAAAUUCCUUGUCGGGUAAGUUCCGACCCGCACGAAAGGCGUAGCGAUCUGGGCGCUGUCUCGGAGAGAGGCUCGGCGAAAUAGGAUUGUCUGUGAAGAUACGGACUACCUGCAUUUGGACAGAAAGACCCUAUGAAGCUUUACUAUAGCUUGGAAUUGUGUUCGGGCUUCCUGUGCGCAGGAUAGGUGGGAGGCGUAGAAGGUAUUCUUGUGGGGAUACUGGAGCCAACGGUGAGAUACCACUCUCAGGAGGCUAGAAUUCUAACUUAAUUAAGGACAGUUUCAGGUGGGUAGUUUGACUGGGGCGGUCGCCUCCAAAAAGGUAACGGAGGCGUACAAAGGUUCCCUCAGACUGGUUGGAAAUCAGUCGAGAGUGCAAAGGCAGAAGGGAGCUUGACUGCGAGAAGUACAGUUCGAGCAGGGUGGAAACACGGUCUUAGUGAUCCGACGGUGCUGUGUGGAAGGGCCGUCGCUCAACGGAUAAAAGUUACUCUAAGGAUAACAGGCUGAUCUCCCCCAAGAGUUCACAUCGACGGGGAGGUUUGGCACCUCGAUGUCGGCUCAUCGCAACCUGGGGCGGAAGUACGUCCCAAGGGUUGGGCUGUUCGCCCAUUAAAGCGGUACGUGAGCUGGGUUCAGAACGUCGUGAGACAGUUCGGUCCAUAUCCGAUGUAGGCGUGAGAAUAUUGAGAGGAGCCUUCCUUAGUACGAGAGGACCGGGAAGGACGCACCGCUGGUGUACCUGUUAUGAUGCCAAUUGUAAACGCAGGGUAGCCAAGUGCGGAGAGGAUAACCGCUGAAAGCAUCUAAGUGGGAAGCCCACCUCAAGAUGAGUAUUCUGGUGUAAGGUCACGGGAAGACGACCCGUAAAUAGGCACGAGGUGGAAGUGCAGAGAUGUAUGAAGCCGAAGUGUACUAAUAGACCGUCGGCUUGAC
rnacentral:rRNA from 1 species